AUCCCCCUCUGACCCCGCAUGGUCUGGCAAGGCACAGGGGCGAUGCCAGACCCCGCGGCGCACCUGCCCUUCUUCUACGGCAGCAUCUCGCGCGCUGAGGCCGAGGAGCACCUGAAGCUGGCGGGCAUGGCCGACGGGCUCUUCCUGCUGCGCCAGUGCCUGCGCUCGCUGGGCGGCUACGUGCUGUCGCUGGUGCACGACGUGCGCUUCCACCACUUCCCCGUCGAGCGCCAGCUCAACGGCACCUACGCCAUCACCGGCGGGAAGGCACACUGUGGCCCCGCCAAGCUCUGCGAGUUCCACUCGCGCGACCCCGACGGGCUGCCGUGCAACCUGCGCAAGCCGUGCAACCGGCCGGCCUGGAGCCGCAGCCCGGGGUCUUCGACGGCCUGUGCGACGCCAUGGUGCGCGACUACGUGCGCCAGACGUGGAAGCUGGAGGAGGACGCCCUGGAGCAGGCCAUCAUCAGUCAGGCAACCCCAGGUGGAGAAGCUCAUUGCCACGACGGCCCACGAGCGGAUGCCCUGGUACCACAGCAGCCUGACGCGCGAGGAGGCCGAGCGUAAGCUCUACUCGGGGACGCAGACUGACGGCAAGUUCCUGUAUGUGCGGCCUGGGGGCUGGGGCAGACCUGAGUGCGCAGCUGGGCCUUGA